rnacentral:tRNA from 1 species
UCCGGCAUAGUACAGUGGCUAGUAUACCUGCCUCUCACGUAGGAGACCGGGGUUCAAUUCCCCGUACCGGAA